UAUAGCUGAGGGUAGAGCACUUGCCUAGCAAGCAUGAGGCCCUUGGUUCAAUCCCCAGUA
rnacentral:tRNA from 1 species